rnacentral:tRNA from 1 species
GACUUGGUAGCUCAGUUGGUAGAGCAUCUCCCUUUUAAGGAGAGGGUCCUGGGUUCGAGCCCCAGGCAAGUCA